rnacentral:rRNA from 1 species
UACGUAGGGAGCAAGCGUUGUUCGGAUUUACUGGGCGUAAAGCGCGCGUAGGCGGCUUUGCAAGUCGAGUGUGAAAUCCCCAGGCUUAACCUGGGAACUGCAUUCGAGACUGCAUGGCUAGAGUAUGGGAGAGGGAAGUGGAAUUUCAGGUGUAGCGGUGAAAUGCGUAGAUAUCUGAAGGAACAUCAGUGGCGAAAGCGACUUCCUGGACCAAUACUGACGCUCAUGUGCGAAAGCGUGGGGAGCAAACAGG